rnacentral:rRNA from 1 species
GACACGGGGGGCAAGUGUUCUUUGGAAUGUCUGGGUGUAAAGGGAACAUAAGCGGUGAAUCAGGUUGAAACUCAAAGUCACUAAAAACUAGCGGAAUGCUUUCAAAAACCAAUUCACUUGAGUGAGACAGAGGAGAGUGGAAUUUCAUGUGUAGGGGUGAAAUCUAUAGAUCUACGAAGGAUCGCCAAAAGCAAAGGUAUCUCUCUAGGUCCCUACUGACGCUAGGCUACGAAAGCAUGGGGAGCAAACAUG